rnacentral:rRNA from 1 species
GUGUCAGCAGCCGCGGUAAUACCGGCGGCUCGAGUGGUGGCCGCUGUUACUGGGCUUAAAGGGUCCGUAGCUUGAUAACUGGGUCCCUUGAGAAAUCCGCCAGCUCAACUGGCGGGCGUUCAGGGGAAACUUGUUUUCUAGGGACCGGGAGAGGUGAGGGGUACUGCCGGGGUAGGAGUGAAAUCCUGUAAUCCCGGUGGAACCACCUAUGGCGCAGGCAUCUCACCAGAACGGGUCCGACAGUGAGGGACGAAAGCUGGGGGCACGAACCGGAUUAGAUACCCGGGUAGUCCCAGCCGUAAACUAUGUGCGUUAGGUGUGUCAGUGACCACGUGUCACUGAGGUGCCGAAGGGAAACCGUGAACCGCACCGCCUGGGGAGUACGGUCGCAAGGCUGAAACUUAAAUGAAUUGGCGG